rnacentral:lncRNA from 1 species
GUUUUGGCUCUUAGCACUUCGCAAUAAACGUGUUGCUGUGUUAAACAUGUUUAGCUAUUCGUCAAGAAUAUGAAGCUAAACGUGUUUAGAUUCUAAGCACUUUGAAUAUUUAGACACUUUCCUAAACACGUUUAGAAUUACAACACAUUUAGGCCGAAGACGACAUUCAUAUCACGUGAUAAUUUUUGAGCGGGAGGACAA